rnacentral:rRNA from 1 species
UACGAAGGGGGCUAGCGUUGCUCGGAAUCACUGGGCGUAAAGGGUGCGUAGGCGGGUCUUUAAGUCAGGGGUGAAAUCCUGGAGCUCAACUCCAGAACUGCCUGUGAUACUGAGGAUCUUGAGUUCGGGAGAGGUGAGUGGAACUGCGAGUGUAGAGGUGAAAUUCGUAGAUAUUCGCAAGAACACCAGUGGCGAAGGCGGCUCACUGGCCCGAUACUGACGCUGAGGCACGAAAGCGUGGGGAGCAAACAGG